CCUCCGCCUCCUGGGUUCAAGUGAUUCUCCUGCCUCAGCCUCCCAAGUAGUUGGGAUUACAGGUGCCCACCACCACACCUGGCUAAUUUUUGUAGUUUUAGUAGAGACAGGGUUUCACUAUGUUGGCUUGGCUGGUGUCUGAACUCAAGACCUCAAGUGAUCUGCCUGCCUCGGCCUCCCAAAGUGCUGGGGUUACAGACGUGAGCCACUGCGCCUGGCUGACAUACACAACCUAAGGCUAGAAAUGUAAAAUGUUGGUUCACAGUGCAAUGAGCACAUUCCAAAGAAAACUCAAAUGGCUCCUUUGUACUCUAAAAACAGUAAAUUUGCAGCAAGAUGAUAGUCAAGUUCUGUGUCUUCAGGGUGUCAUUGCAUCUAUGAUUUAGACUAACCUAGAGAUUUGUUUACUUGCCAAAUAGAGUUCUUCAAGAUGCUGUUUGGAUUUGUCUUACCAUCUCCAACUGCCAUAUCGGCAUUUUUGUCUGUACCCAAAUUCAUAUUACUGAAGUGUUAGAGCUGAUUUCAGUGACUCCAGUUUCUUCUUAAAACAUGUCACUCCCAUAAUAUGAGUUAACAAUGGGUUAUAUUCUACCUUUCCAAUUUAUCCUGUUCUCAAUUACAUCUUUCCCCUACCCUGGUUGGUUUGGUAAAUAUAUAUAUAUUUUUAACUCUACAGACCCAGGAACUUGAAUAUAUUUAUAUUUCCCAAUAAGCUAAAUGCAAUGCUGACAGUUUAAUAUUGAUUGGCGAGAUGGAAAGAACUUAAUACUCCCUAAAAGCAAAGCACUGUAGAAGUCUGUUUCACAAACUGUUCGUUAACUGAGUGGAUUAUUGGAGAAGGUAUUUUAAUACUAAUAACUCCUCAGAUUUGAAGCCAGAAAUUUUGAAUUAAUUUAAAUGCUAGCCUAAGUCCAAGUAUAAUGGAUAAGUAAAUGUUGCUCCCAGAAUUGGUCUUGCAAAGUAAGACCAAUUGUAAGACCAAAGUAAGUGGUUUUGUUGUAAGCUAUGCACACUUUCAGUACAGAUCACCAAGAACUGAUGACAUUGUCCCCUAAAAGACUUAAGUAGUUGCCUCCUAGGUAUAUCCUUUUUCAGUCAUUCUCUUUUAAGCUUCUUACAGAAGAAGCUUUAAGUUGCCUCUGAAUUUAGUGGUACUGCCUCAAUGAGAAUUUCUGCAUAUUUCUCUUUGGGAUGGAAUCAUUUUGGUUCUUUUUUGUUGUUGUUUUGGUAACUAUACGUAAAGAGAUUAAUACAUAAUGUCUUGUGAAGAGACUAGUAUGUAUGUAUAUUAUUCCUUGGGUUGGGAGUCUUUAAGCAUUACUUCAGGACGCUGACCCUGGUCUUCAAGUUUAUAGGAUCAGCUAGCUUAAACAAUGCUCUCAAAACCAAGCGAUCGAGCAUUCAUACAUUUUAACACCCCACACCCUAAAUCCCAUAAGCAGCCCUGUUCCUUUUGCCGUUAAAAAUCUCAGUCCUUCAUGAUCACACCUAAUGACUGAAACAUUCUUGAACUAAUUGCAUUGUUUCUGCUUUGCUUUUCUUCAACAUGUUUUAAAAAGUGUGCUACACAUGCAUGCACAUGUUGACUUUAAGCUGUUCUCUAGUUCAACAUGUAUGUUUUCUUUCCCUCAGCUACAUAGUAAACUGGGGGCAAAGGCUGUGUUUUUUUUUGUUGUUUGUUUGUUUGUUUUCUAGAUGGCGUCUCGCACUGUCACCUGGGCUGGAGUGCAGUGGCGCAAUCUCGGCUCACUGCAACUUCCACCUCCUGGGUUCAAGCGAUUCUCCUGCCUUGGCCUCCCAACGUGCUGGGAUUAUAGGCAUAAACCACCGCGCCUGGCCCCCCAGAGGCUAUGUUUUUAACUUUUUGACAUUUCUUCUAAGAUGUCCAGAAUGCUAGUACCUACCUAUACCUUAAUAAAUGUUUGUGAAUAAAUAUAUUAUUGAAAUCUUAGGCUGGUGUGCCACAUAGCUUAAAUCUGAGACACUGUUCUUCAGUCAGAUCACACAUAUUCCUAGAAUAGUAACCUCAAAUUUGGGUUUAUGCCCUUGCUACCUUUUACAUAUUUUUUGUAGAGACAGGGUCUUGCUCUGUUUCUCAGACUGUUUUUGAACUCCUGGGCUCAAGCAGUCCUCCCACCUUGACUUCCUAAAAGUGCUGGGAUUACAGGUAUGAGCCAUUGUGCCCAGUCCUGAUACUGUGGCCCAUAUUAAUCCUCAUGUAGUAUUUAGUCUUAUUUUGCAAUUUGAGGAAAUAGGCUCAGAGAUGUUAAAGUGUCAGGCCCAGAACUUGAAUCCAGGUUUUGUGAUGAGAAAUUCUUGUUUGUUUUACUACCAGGUGGUUUUUUAAAGCCAGCCUGCUUUUUCCAGUUGGGAGGCCUUGGGGAGAAAAGUCUGACCCAAGUGAAAAACACCUGUAAUAUCUACCAGAUGCCAGCAGGGUGUCCCAUGGUGCUGUCUUUGAUCCACGUUCUUACCCCAUGUACUGAGGGUUGUUCUAGAGUAGGACUACAUCUAGUCACAGUGGCCAUGGUCCAGAGCCUGGCAGCAAGAAAGUGGGAUGCCUAGCUCCUUGACUUUCCAGUGUGCAGUGCAUAGCCAGCUCUCAGAGAAGCCCUUGCCCUCUUUUGACCUCUACCAUUGAGGCUGGCCCACAGGAGUACAGCUGGUCACACAGUGGCCAGGGCCUGGUAGCCACUCAAUAACUAUGCAGCAGCCCCACAAAAAAAAUCAUAGAAAAGAACCUGUGAAAGGGUAAAUGUUUAAAACAUCUGCAUUUGUGUUGAUAGCUGAGUAUACACUUAAAUUUGUAUUAGUAACAGAUCCACAAAAAUGACCCACUCUAGGAAGAUGAGUUUUAAAAGCCAGUGUGUGGUAACUUCGUUUCCAAUAAAAAUGUUUGCAUUACACUUAGCAUAUGCAUACAACCUCUUAGGUAUCGGUUUUUGUAUUCAGCAACCCUAGUUGGUCAUCUACAGUGUCAAAACUAUCACUUAUGUGAAAACAAAUGAGCAAAUAGCCCUUUAAAAAUUUCCUUUCCCAGUGCUCCUUAAACACUUUAUACAAAUAUCUGUAACUGUUUUAUAAUUAUUUCUUUGCAAGUCUUGGUUUCUUCACUAGAGAAUAUUCUUAGAAGUAUCCCCAGUGACAGUACAGCUCCUGGCAUUUAGUAGGUGCUCAGUAAUUAUUUUACUGAAAUACUAAUGCUUCCGUAAUAGUUCUGGGAUAAUUCUACACACGAGCCAUUUUUCUAAGAAGAGUUCACAUUAGAGAGGUCUUUGUUUUGUAUUCAAGAUGAUUAAUUAUGAACUGGGAAGUUAGUCCCUGGGGUGUCCUGGCUGGCCUUUGGAAAUCUUCACUACAUCUUUCUGGGUUGGAAUUCUCACCACAGCCUUAAUGUGGGGCUGUAUCUGAGCUGUCUCUGAGUGCUGUCCAUUUGAUAUGUCGAGGACUGGGUGUUUACCAGGGCUCUUCAAGCCAUUGGGAGAAACAGCUGAAGAGUAACCUACUGAUUUGAGAUGUGGAUUUGUACCCCAUCCCUUUCUCCUCCCUGUUUCCCACAGGAGUUUUAUCUCAAACUCCUAAGUCAUUUUUAAGGAGAUCACUGGAACAAACUCCAAACCUACCCUCUAAUAGUCAAGUUUACCUGAAUUUUCUUAGUUCUCUUGGGAGAAGACUAAUCACACAUUGUAGUACCAACUUGGACUCUUCAUGUGCUUUUAUUAACUGAUUAGAGUAACGCCUCAGCUAAAGUGUAUAGAACAUACAUGGGGCUUCCUCAGGCUUCAGAAUCAGCUUCACUAGAUGUGCUAUGUAGGAGGCCACGGAAAAAUUACUGUAGGAGUAAAAGUUACCAGUUCUGAUGCAAACAAUCCUCUUGUCCCCAAGAAGUAUCACUAAGGGAUUUUUUUUUGUCCCAUAUUAUAAAUUGGCCUGAAAAUAUCCUUUCAUAUGUGAGGAAUGAGUAUAUGGUGACUUUCUCCUUUAAAGUAUGAACUGCUAAAGGACAGAGAUAAUACGUAUUCUGUAUUCCAACACCCACUGUGUGUUUCUGGUCUUUGUACCAGGUGCUCAGGAAGUGUUUUCACUGGCUUGGGUUGACUACUUGCCAUCUGCUCUCUGAGCAUUCAUUUCUGAAUGAAAAGGGAGAAAGUGAAAGGAGUGGUGGGAAGAAAGAGGAAGCUGGAGAAAUAAGAGGAAACAGCUGGAGGAGGGAGGUGACGCUGAGGAGGUGGAACUUACGUAAGGUCAGUAAAACAAAAAGCUAGCUGAGGGCAGGGUCAGGCCCUGGGGGUAGAGGGCUAAUUAACUUCUGUCAGCUAGUUGAAUAGAGCCUUGCGUGCUUUGUUAGAGACCAAAGGUACUUCAAAGGAAAAAAUCUAGAUUCUUCCCUGUGUACCUUAAUAAUUGUUCAUCAGGUCAAAAUCUGUCCUGUCCUCUAGGAAUUCUGGUCUUCCCUCAGGCCUAGCAGAGAGCUUUCUGCCACUACUCAGGCAACCAAGGGUGAAGUGCUUCAAGUAGUAUUUGUGGACAGCAGCAGGUGACCAUUGUGAGGUAGAUAUUUUGUUCUCAUUUUCCAGAUGAGGAAGCUGAGACCCUGAAAGGUUAGGUGACAGAUUAUACAACUUGGAGUGUGGGAGGAGGAGAGAGGAACCUGAACAGAGCAAGUUGGGGAUCUGACUUUUGUUUGGGUGGGUGUAGGCACAUUGUAUUUUUGGUUUAGACGCUUUAUUCAUCAUGGCUGAAGGUAAUACCAUUUACUCACCGAAAAUUGUUUACAAUAAUCAAGAUGAAUUUACUGUCUUUGGACAUCUGUCUUUUGACUGGACCUCAGUAUAUAGUCUGUGAAAGUUCACUUAAGGAGAGGGCUCCUUUUUGUUUGGUUAGAGAAAUUGUCUGUCCUAAAGGUAGAAAUAGCCCCUUCUAGGUAGGGAUGGAGCAUUUGAUCAUACUGAUUUCAUUAUAUUCCUCUAACAGUUGGAACCAAUUGUUUUUGAGUACUUGUUUCAAACUUCUGAAUAUUUUCCUUCUGGAAAGUAGCUCAGUGUUUAAAAUUUAUAUGAACUUAAAAAGUUGAUUUUAAAGAUGUUUGAGGAGCAAUCAACAAUUCUGGUUUUGUCUUAUGGAUAGAAAUAGAAUUAGCCAUUUUCCUCAAGAAAAGUGAUUCUUCUGAAUCUUAUUUCUUCAGUAAUGAGAACUGGACUGUUUUCGUUUGACCUCUAUUUCCUGUUAGUGGGAAACCCCUCCCCAGAGGUGCUGUGUGAAAGAUUGCUGGGGAAAGGGUUUCUAGAUCCCAGCAUAACAAGUUCAGAAGAGCCCAGCAAUAUUGUCAUUAGAAUAAUGGUCUUCAUUAAGUACUGGUUUUCAUAAUCUUGAAGCUUCAUUUUCACCAAUUUGAAAGGCAGUGGCUAGGGAGGAGAGACUAUGCAGGGAAGGAGGAAAACUCAGGAGUGCAUCACAGAGACCUUGAGUUAAGGCAGGAAGAAGCAGAUUUGCUGUCCACUAAAUGAAAAUAAAAAGAAUUCCAUUGUCCAAGGUCAGAGCAAGAACAUAAAGGUUUUAGUUUACUUAGUUAAUUCCUUAGGUUUGGACUACAGGAGACAUGGGGGUCACCCAUAGCAAUUUAGCUGAUAAAUGUAUCAGAAACUCUUUCAUCAUUUUCUGUCCCCUCCUGUCUUAGGCUGACCGGUUCCCUGAUGUGUUACCUGCUUCUGCUACUGAUCCAAACUGCAGAACUUCUCCCCCAAGGCCUCCAGGCAGUAUCCAAUGGGGAAUCAGCUCUAAAAGGAACCAGACCAACGUUUUCCAGCCCCUUCAUUCUGUAGCUACCCUCUGUGUGAGGAAAGGAUAGAAAUGUUCAGGACAUCAUCAGACAGGCUCCUCAUCUACAAAGUUCCAGUAGCAGUGACGCCUACACGGAAGACUUGGAACUGCAAACAGAGGCUGGGGUCACCUCAGUGACAUCUCCUGACGCUGUCCAACCAGAAGUUCGAUUUUUGUUCUGGGGGUGAAGGAGGAAACAGACUGUACUAAAGGACUAAAAUAAUUUCUUGUCUAUACUA